UGCUUGCACCUUUCAAGCGAGUGGCGAACGGGUGAGUAACACGUGGAUAACCUGCCUCAAGGCUGGGGAUAACAUUUGGAAACAGAUGCUAAUACCGAAUAAAACUUAGUAUCGCAUGAUACAAAGUUGAAAGGCGCUACGGCGUCACCUAGAGAUGGGUCCGCGGUGCAUUAGUUAGUUGGUGGGGUAAAGGCCUACCAAGACAAUGAUGCAUAGCCGAGUUGAGAGACUGAUCGGCCACAUUGGGACUGAGACACGGCCCAAACUCCUACGGGAGGCUGCAGUAGGGAAUCUUCCACAAUGGGCGAAAGCCUGAUGGAGCAACGCCGCGUGUGUGAUGAAGGCUUUAGGGUCGUAAAGCACUGUUGUAUGGGAAGAAAUGCUAGAAUAGGGAAUGAUUCUAGUUCGACGGUACCAUACCAGAAAGGGACGGCUAAAUACGUGCCAGCAGCCGCGGUAAUACGUAUGUCCCGAGCGUUAUCCGGAUUUAUUGGGCGUAAAGCGAGCGCAGACGGUUGAUUAAGUCUGAUGUGAAAGCCCGGAGCUCAACUCCGGAAUGGCAUUGGAAACUGGUUAACUUGAGUGUUGUAGAGGUAAGUGGAACUCCAUGGUUUAUACC
rnacentral:rRNA from 1 species